UACAGAGGUCCCAAGCGUUGUUCGGAUUCAUUGGGCGUAAAGGGUGCGUAGGCGGCGCGGUAAGUCGGGUGUGAAAUCUCCGGGCUUAACCCGGAAAGGUCAGCCGAUACUGCGGGGCUAGAGUGCAGAAGGGGCAACUGGAAUUCUCGGUGUAGCGGUGAAACGCGUAGAUAUCGAGAGGAACACCUGCGGCGAAGGCGGGUUGCUGGGCUGACACUGACGCUGAUGCGCGAAAGCUAGGGGAGCGAACGGG
rnacentral:rRNA from 1 species